GCGGGCGUGGUGUAGUUGGUAACACUGGAGCCUUCCAAGCUCCCAUCGCCGGUUCGAUCCCGGUCGCCCGCU
rnacentral:tRNA from 1 species